rnacentral:rRNA from 1 species
GCAGAGCAUCCUACGGGAGGCAGCAGUGGGGAAUAUUGCACAAUGGGCGCAAGCCUGAUGCAGCCAUGCCGCGUGUAUGAAGAAGGCCUUCGGGUUGUAAAGUACUUUCAGCAGUGAGGAAGGUGGGUAUGUUAAUAGCAUAUUCAUUUGACGUUUAGCUGCAGAAGAAGCACCGGCUAACUCCGUGCCAGCAGCCGCGGUAAUACGGAGGGUGCGAGCGUUAAUCGGAAUUACUGGGCGUAAAGCGCAUGCAGGUGGUUUGUUAAGUCAGAUGUGAAAGCCCGGGGCUCAACCUCGGAAUUGCAUUUGAAACUGGCAAACUAGAGUACUGUAGAGGGGGUAGAAUUUCAGGUGUAGCGGUGAAAUGCGUAGAGAUCUGAAGGAAUACCGGUGGCGAAGGCGGCCCCCUGGACAGAUACUGACACUCAGAUGCGAAAGCGUGGGGAGCAAACAGGAUUAGAUACCCCGGUAG